GGCGGCGCAGUGUGGCGGACAAACCUUGCAAUAGAGCGGCAUGCAAGCAAAAUAUAUACAAGGAAUAUGUUUGAGGAAUUUGGACGAUUACUAAUGGAAGCAACUGCAUACAAUGUUGCUGAAAAAGAAAGUAUGAGGAAAUAUAUAACAACUCACAAUAAUGCAGCCAAACGAGAGAAGUGGAGCAGGGUGGAGUAUGAAGUAACAGUUAACGAAGACAGAACAAUAUUCGCGUGCGAAUGUGGUCAAUUUGAGCACACAGGCAUGCUUUGCUGCCAUGCUUCGCGGGUGAUGGAGAUUCUACAUCUUGAUGAAAUCCCUAAAUAUCAUAUCUUGAAGAGGUGGACAAGAGAUGCUAGAGAUGUACUACUGGAGCACUUGGCUCAGUACCAGAAAGACAAAUCACAUAAAUUGUCUUUCACGUACAGGCAUUCAACAUUAUAUUUUAAAGCCAUGGAAGCUGUUCGGAUGGGGGAUGCAAGUGCUGCAUGCUAUGACUACAUGAAUUCUGGACUGGACUCCCUACUGCGGGGUGGAGCACCUCUGGCGGCCGUGCGUGAUGGAUUGGCAUUCGAGGAUCGUCUAAAUGAAAAUGGAAAUGCUAGUGCAGCGUGCAACAGCCAAAAUGCUAAUGCAGAUGAGGAGGCUGAGCAAGGCAACAGUGUUAUGAAUUCAGUGGGCAUGAAUGAACUUCAUUGUCUUGCUGCUCCGGAAAAGCGUAGAGGUGCUGGCAGGCCGACAAGCAGCAGGGAGAAGGCACCAUAUGAAGGGCUGAGUAAGAGAACCAGGUUCUGCAGCAUUUGCAGGCGCGAGGGGCACAAGAGGACGACAUGUCCAGAUCGAGGGGAUGCUCCGAAGAAGCCGCGGAAGCCAAGCAAAUGCAAGAACUGCGGGAUAGAGGGGCACCGGCGGAACACAUGCAAGAGGCCUCUUGGGUUUGCCGAGAGCUGAGUAGUGUUUUUUCCAUUCGAUGACUCUGAUUUCCUUUUUUCCGUGAGUCAUGUAUCUCAUUUUCCCUGAUAUUUCUUUCAUGGGGCAAUGAGAAAAAAAGGGGUGAUGUUGUGGGAA
rnacentral:rRNA from 1 species